rnacentral:lncRNA from 1 species
UUGUACCACAUCAAUUUUGGUAUCAGAGCCAGGUUUAUUAGGGCACCAUUUUCAUGCAUUAGUGUAGAACUUAGAAUUACUAGGCACCAGUUUUAAUCUUUCCGCAUCCUUUUCUGAGUAUAGUUUAUUUGGGACAUCAACAUUAAGAUUAGAAGUUUUUAGCUAGUUUGCUUGAUCAACUAUUCAAAUGCAAUUUAAUGACAUGACAUAAAAUGAUUAAAAAAUUUUCUUGAUUGUUGCAUAUAAGCAUUUGCAUAAAAUAAUCUAAGGGCUGAACCCAUUAACAAGAUAAGGUCGGGAUUUCAUCACUCGUCCUUAGUCCAAAAAUCAUCCCAGUGCAUAAAUAUCCUAAGCCUAAUUAAAAUCAACUAGACGUUGGCCCCUAAGGAUACUCGAGCUCAAUAGGACGAAGACCACUGAAAGUUGCACCAAUUUUGCUCUAUGAUCCCGGUCGAUGUCUAGGCAAGCUUUGUCCCUUUAAGUAAUUAAAGGGAGACAGUUUCUGUUCGAGGAAAGUGGGUUUUAAGUGGGACCUUUGCUACAUGCAACGUGACCCCUCCACUUACCUGGGAGCUUACCUGGUCGACUAGGUUAUUAGACCGGAUUGGAGGCUUAAGUGUACUCUUCAACUCAGUUAGGAGCUGUCUAGAAUUUUUAGGAAAAACCUUAGAAAUUGUUGGGUGAUGCAUGUGUUUGUUUUAUUGUAUUAGGGUGUUUGUGUAAAAAAACAAAAAAAUAAUAAAAU